rnacentral:tRNA from 1 species
CGCAGUAUAGCUUAAUCAAAGCACCCCGCUUACACCGUGGCGACACCUGUGAAACCCAGGUUACUCCGA